GAAAUGCGAUAAGUAGUGUGAAUUGCCGAAUUCAGUGAAUCAUCGAAUCUUUGAACGCACAUUGCGCCCCUUGGUAUUCCAUGGGGCAUGCCUGUUCGAGCGUCAUUUGUACCCUCAAGCUCUGCUUGGUGUUGGGUGUUUGUCCCCGUCUCCGCGCGUGGACUCGCCCCAAAGUGAUUGGCAGCCGGCGUACUGGUCCCGGAGCGCAGCACAUGUCGCGCAAACGAGUGCCUUGGUACGGCGGCGUCCAUAAGCCCCUCUCUCACGCUCUUGACCUCGGAUCAGGUAGGGAUACCCGCUGAACUUAAGC
rnacentral:misc_RNA from 1 species